rnacentral:rRNA from 1 species
GGGAGGGGCAAGCGUUGUUCGGAAUUACUGGGCGUAAAGGGCGCGUAGGCGGCCUUCUAAGUCGGACGUGAAAUCCCUCGGCUUAACCGAGGAACUGCGUCUGAUACUGGAAGGCUUGAAUCCGGGAGAGGGAUGUGGAAUUCCAGGUGUAGCGGUGAAAUGCGUAGAUAUCUGGAGGAACACCGGUGGCGAAGGCGGCAUCCUGGACCGGCAUUGACGCUGAGGCGCGAAAGCUAGGGGAGCAAACGGGAUUAGAUACCCCGGUAGUCCUAGCCCUAAACGAUGAGUGCUUGGUGUGGCGGGUAUCGAUCCCUGCCGUGCCGAAGCUAACGCAUUAAGCACUCCGCCUGGGGAGUACGGUCGCAAGGCUG